GUAUGUGGAGCACAGGGUUGAAUUUGAUCAAUCAUGAUGAACUGUUACCGUUUAUCUCCCAAAUAGAGAAGACUAAUUUUCAAGGAAAUAUAGAAUAGGAUGAACAUUUUAAGUUUGAUUCUUUAUUGGUUCAUAAAGAUCUCAAUAGUUCACACGAUAGUGUUUCUCAAGUUUCAUUUUUUUGUCUUUUGCCAACUUCAUUUUCAACUCAAAGCUUUAUCUUCUCUACAUUUCUCACUUUUAGUUUCAGUAAGAAAUUUGAAGGUCUUUUUGGUGCCUACCAGAUGGAGAUGGUAUGGCACGACUCUGCAGACAGCUCCCCGAUUAAAUUUGAGGAAGGGGUCAACCGGUUCAAUUAAAUGGCCUCAGUGGACAUAAUGUAACCGUGUCAUUCAAGUGCCAUUGUGCCAAUCCAUUACUGUCAAUGGAAGCUUGACUGAACCCCUUAUUCCUCAGUAGUACCAUUCUAGCAAUGCCGUUAUGAUGGUUGAGGGUUUUAACUAAUGAACUUGUCCGAGGCCAUCCAGAUUUGGAGUUCAAACAUAUGUGCAGUGCUUCAUGAUUGGGAGAGUUUCAUGAGGAUUAGUGUUGCAGAGCAAAUAUUUUAUUGUUUCUUGCUGAAUAAUACUUUACAUGAUGAAUUUAUAACCAAACUGGCCUGUAUUCUUUUAAUUUAAUUGAUCAACUGAAAUAAGGAAGAACACACGGUUGCCUUUUUUAUUGGCUUGCUCAUAAUUUUGAGAUGUGAUUUCAUGUA